CUAAAGCAAAUAACGCAUUAAAGCAUAAAAAAAAAUCUCACGUCAAACCAAUAACGCGUUCCUCUUCGUCGAAACCCUAGCCGCUUCUCCCUCUCGCACCUACGACUAUCUUGCCUCUUCGUCGAAGUUACGAGACCAUUUGCCAUGCGUCCCUCGCCGAAGCUACGGAACCUACGACUCUCUUGCACCAACCUCUUUCUCGCCGUGACUUCCUCUCCACUGAAGCUAGGGUUUCCCUGCCGCCCCUCCCUCUCCCGCCGCAACGAGCUCCGUUCCCUGCUGCGCCUUCCUCUCUUGCCGACGAGCUUGCAUAAAGAGAGCUUGGUGCGAGAGAGUCGUAGGUCCCAUAGCUUCAGCAAGGGAGGCGCGGCAAAUGGUACCUAGCAAGAGAGUCAUAGGUGAGAGAGGAAGGAGCGGCUAAAGUUUCGGCAAAGAGGAAUGCAUUAUUGGUUUGACAUGACAAAUUUUCUUUUUUGCUUUAACGUGCUAUAUAUAUACAGUAGUUGCCCGUCACUGCUAUCGUCGUCGUCCGUCGCUGCUGCCACCCUCGUUCAUCGCUACUGCUGGGUGAGACUCAGCAGUAGACACAGACAAAUUUUCCUCAUCACGUUGUUUUUUAUUUUCUUCACUUUUUCUUUCCUUUCCUAUCGUGAUUUUUUAAUUUUCUUUUGAUUUUCUUUCCUUUGUUGCCUCUGUCGCACCCAUCGUCGCUGCUGCCGCCGACCCUCCGUCGUUGUUGCCGAGUGAGACAAGACUGCUCUAGCCACUAGACGCCAACCCUCACUGCGACUAGGACUGCCGUAGCCGCUAGACGCCUAAUGCUGCCGCCGAGACUGGGACUACCCCAGCCAACAAACGGCCCUCAUCGCAAACUAGGUUUUCCUCUCAAAUACCAUCGUUCAUCGUUGUCUGCCGCCACCAUCCUUCAUCGGGAGCAACCAACAUACUAGGUUUCCCCACGCCGUUGUCGCUGCCCAACUCUUCGUCCCUGGAGCUACUAGGUGCUACUAGGUGAGACCCUCGCCACAACUGAGACUGCCCUCACUGCCAGGCGCCCCUCACCGCUAGACCGUGGGUACCGCCAUGACGAAGCCUAUUGCUUUGUUCAAUUUUACUUCUAUUUGUACAAAUAUAUACUUGAAGCAACUUGAAUACUUGCUACUGACUUUUUUUUUUUUGCAGGUACUUGUAUGAUGUGAUCUACAUAACUAGUUUUGUGUAAAUAAUGUUCAUAUUAUCUGGUAAAUUUUGGUAGACUUACUUAGUUAGAAGAUUUGGAGAGACUCAUUUUGUUAUACAGUAUGAUACAUUGUUGGAGAAAUUACAAUAUGAUCUACAUAACUACAAUAUCUUCUUACAACAUCUUUGUCCGAUUAGUUCAACCCAAUCACAAUCUUUUCUUUAUAUUAAUUUUUCCACUUUGACAAAAUGUAUUAAAUUUAGCUUGAAUAAUUAUCAUCAAUAUAUUAUUCUUUUUGUA